rnacentral:tRNA from 1 species
GCGUUUGUAGUCCAACGGUGAGGAUAAUUGCAUCCAAGCAAUAGACCCGGGUUCGACUCCCGGAAAACGCA